rnacentral:rRNA from 1 species
UACGUAGAGUGCAAGCGUUAAUCGGAAUUACUGGGCGUAAAGCGUGCGCAGGCGGUUUUGUAAGUCUGUCGUGAAAGCCCCGGGCUUAACCUGGGAAUUGCGAUGGAGACUGCAAGGCUUGAAUCUGGCAGAGGGGGGUAGAAUUCCACGUGUAGCAGUGAAAUGCGUAGAGAUGUGGAGGAACACCGAUGGCGAAGGCAGCCCCCUGGGUCAAGAUUGACGCUCAUGCACGAAAGCGUGGGGAGCAAACAGG